rnacentral:tRNA from 1 species
GGGGUUGUGGCUCAGUGAUAGAGCGCUUGCCUAGCAUGUAUGAGGCACUGGGUUCAAUUCUCAGCACCA